GCACCCGCUCCCCAAGGGGCAGAGGUCAUGGCCCCCUGAAACCUCCCCACCCGCAUCUCCAGCUCACCUUGCUAAAGGCACUCUUCACCUCCUCCACGGCCUUGCUCUUGUUUUCACAGGGCAGAAAUUGAUGCUGGGGAAGGAAAGAGAAAGUGUGAACGACACUGGCGCCCAGCUCCCAGGUCCGGAGAGCUUGGGGAGAAGCUGGUUGCAGGAGGAGGCCAGACUCAUCCUGAAGGUCUAUACCCCGCAGAACUCCUGCGGAGGACUGAGCAUCCCGCUUCCUUCCCCACCGGAGAGAUGACACCUAGCCCAGGGAGAUGAACUGCCGUUCCCCCGAGGUUUACAAGGCUGCAGCUAAACCCGGGUCUUGGCGCUUCCUCCCGCGCCUGUGCCAGCGCUGACCCGAGUGCUGAGCCAGCCCUUCUGUCCUUUCCUGCUUCUCUGUCCUGUCCUUCUCCUUCGGUCCCGGGCACAAGGACCAUUUCUAAGUCUCCGAGGGAUCGAGACACAGUCUCAGCUCUGCCCGUCAAGCCCUUUGCACUGUCCUGUCCUACAAAUAGAGACCAACUGAUUUCUCCGUGUCACCGAGAGAGCAAAGGAAACCAGCAGUGACAGUAUCGUGUCCGUUGGAGAAAGAAAUCAUCCUGGGGAGUUAUUCACAGAUACUAGCCUAGGGUUGCAGGAAACUCCCCCCGCCACUGCCACCGCACCGCCCCUCAAAAAAUACCAAGAAAAAUCCUGUCCAUCAGCUGGGCUUCCCUUGAAGCUCUGCUUCCCAAAGUUUAAGAAGAAGAGGAGAGUGAUAUUUCCUCUCUGGGAUCCUCCCCUCUGGCCUCUCCUGCAGGGCCCAGGUCCCAGAUCCCAAGGGACCAGGGAGCCCUGUCUGAAGCUCGGGGCCCCUUUCAUGAAGACAGAGGGGAAUAGCUAAUAACCCACAAAUGACUCACAAAUAACAGGAAAGCUGUUGCAAAUGUUCACAUGUAAAUGCCUAGCAGCCACCCCCACCCCCUGCUCAGAGAGAAAUGAGCAAGAGACAGGACUCCAACGCCUGCCCAGAGUGAGAGCCAGCCCGCCCGCCCGUCUUUGUGUGUCUGGGUGUGAGCUAGCCGGGUCAGGAGACGUUUCGGGAAGCGCCGAGAGGCUAAGGAAGGAGCUGGUCUGCUACUCACACAGCGCCGCAGCCUCAGCCUGAGGGUCUUCAGCUUCUCCCCCAGGGAGUUCACGUGCUCCUUGAUAUCCUCCCCAUCACUCUCUGCCUUCGGCAUUACAUCUUCCAAGUAAAACUGGAUCAUCUCCGACAAGGCUUGGCAACCCAGGGCUCCCAAGGAUGCUGAGGACCUUCCUUCUUGUGACACGGCUGGGGAAACACGCUGGUCUGCAGACCUCUUAUUCAUCUUCUCAAUCAGGAGAUGGACGAACGAUGAACAGUGCCAGUCACGGACAGAUGUCCACUGCGUGGAAUUGCCCCAUCCUGAUAGAUGCUUGCAUGUGCUCAUAGGAUUCCAAGAAGAUGUGCAGUGGGAGCAUUUACAAACGAGUCUGUCUGUCUUCACCACCAACAUGUGUGGCUGUAGGCCAGCUUUCUCUGCCCCUCUGAGAAAUCUGCAAAAGGCCACAGCUGCAUGGCUCCAGAAGCUAUUUGUCUUUAAAUCAAGGGACCAGCAAAUACGGAUUAGUGAUCUGACGUCUCCAAUCCCAGCUCCUGGGAGACAAGAAGAGAGGUCAAGAGGGCAUCCUCCAAUCAGCUACAUCCAGGGGACCGGGGACAUGGGACUGCCAGGGUCACACUGGGAAAACAUCAUACAUGCUGUCUCAAGUCAAAUGGUUUGUCCUCCAUGAGGACCCCUGACCAGUUCUAUGGAAGAAGUCUCCUCUCUUCUGUGUUCCCAUAGCAUAUUCUCUGCCCUCUUCUAUCACACUUAUCGCUCUCUCCCUUGUAUUAGUUUUGUUUCUCCCCCAGCCCAUGUAUCUAUAAGCUUCUUGUUUCUCUUCCUAUAUCUCACAGCUUGGGCCAAAUAAUUGGGUGUGCACUCAAUACAUAUUUGAAGUCACAAUCUUUCCCCAAUAAAUACAUUUUCA